CCAAUCUCGGACUGUUGAGAAACAACUCAAUUCUGGGGGAUACGCGCAGUGACCAUUCAAGCUGAUUGUGACGCUGCGUAGGGUAGGUAUCGGUAAAGCGGUUACCGAUAGACGGGAUACUAGUGUUGCUAGAAGGCAACAUGUUAAUGGGAAACCCAACA
rfam:Vibrio sp. C7 DNA, contig: contig00053, strain: JCM 19233.